rnacentral:rRNA from 1 species
GUGCUUUCACAUGGCAAGUCGAAGCGGUUAGGCUCCUUCGGGAGUACACGAGCGGCGAACGGGUGAGUAACACGUGAGCAAUCUGCCCUUCACACGGGGAUAACUCCGGGAAACCGAAGCUAAUACCCGAUACGACCACCUCAGGCAUCUGAUGGUGGUGGAAAGUUCCGGCGGUGAAGGAUGAGCUCGCGGCCUAUCAGCUUGUUGGCGGGGUAACGGCCCACCAAGGCGAAGAUGCGUAGCUGGUCUGAGAGGAUGAUCAGCCACACUGGGACUGAGAUACGGCCCAGACUCCUACGGGAGGCAGCAGUGGGGAAUUGUUCGCAAUGGGCGCAAGCCUGACGACGCAACGCCGCGUGGGGGAUGAAGGUCUUCGGAUUGUAAACC